rnacentral:tRNA from 1 species
GCCGGGGUGGCGGAAUUGGUAGACGCGCACGAUUCAGGGUCGUGUGUCCUUAGGGACGUGCGGGUUCAAGUCCCGCCCCCGGCACCA